rnacentral:rRNA from 1 species
AUUAAACGCUGGCGGCAUGCCUUACACAUGCAAGUCGAACGGCAGCACGGGGCAACCUGGUGGCGAGUGGCGAACGGGUGAGUAAAGCAUCGGAACGCGCCCUGGAGUGGGGGAUAACGUAGCGAAAGUUACGCUAAUACCGCAUAUUCUGUGAGCAGGAAAGCAGGGGAUCGCAAGACCUUGCGCUCUGGGAGCGGCCGAUGUCGGAUUAGCUAGUUGGUGGGGUAAAGGCCUACCAAGGCGACGAUCCGUAGCGGGUCUGAGAGGAUGAUCCGCCACACUGGGACUGAGACACGGCCCAGACUCCUACGGGAGGCAGCAGUGGGGAAUUUUGGACAAUGGCGGAAGCCUGAUCCAGCCAUGCCG